rnacentral:rRNA from 1 species
CCUACGGGGUGCAGCAGUGGGGAAUAUUGCACAAUGGGGGAAACCCUGAUGCAGCAACGCCGCGUGAGUGAAGAAGUAUUUCGGUAUGUAAAGCUCUAUCAGCAGGGAAGAAGAAAGACGGUACCUGACUAAGAAGCCCCGGCUAACUACGUGCCAGCAGCCGCGGUAAUACGUAGGGGGCAAGCGUUAGCCGGAUGUACUGGGUGUAAAGGGAGCGUAGACGGUGCAGCAAGGCUGAUGUGAAAGGUCGGGGCCCAACCCAGGGACUGCAUUGGAAACUGGUGAACUGGAGUACAGGAGAGGUAAGCGGAAGUCGGAGUGUAGCGGUGAAAUGCGUAGAUAUUAGGAGGAACACCGGUGGCGAAGGCAGCUUACUGGACGGUAACUGACGUUGAGGCUCGAAAGCGUGGGGAGCGAACAGGAUUAGAUACCCUUGUAGUC